rnacentral:rRNA from 1 species
UGGGGAAUAUUGGACAAUGGGCGAAAGCCUGAUCCAGCCAUGCCGCGUGAGUGAUGAAGGCCCUAGGGUUGUAAAGCUCUUUUGUGCGGGAAGAUAAUGACGGUACCGCAAGAAUAAGCCCCGGCUAACUUCGUGCCAGCAGCCGCGGUAAUACGAAGGGGGCUAGCGUUGCUCGGAAUCACUGGGCGUAAAGGGUGCGUAGGCGGGUUUCUAAGUCAGAGGUGAAAGCCUGGAGCUCAACUCCAGAACUGCCUUUGAUACUGGAAGUCUUGAGUUCGGGAGAGGUGAGUGGAACUGCGAGUGUAGUGGUGAAAUUCGUAGAUAUUCGCAAGAACACCAGUGGCGAAGGCGGCUCACUGGCCCGAUACUGACGCUGAGGCACGAAAGCGUGGGG